rnacentral:rRNA from 1 species
AGUGAACGCUGGCGGUAGGCCUAACACAUGCAAGUCGAACGGCAGCACAGUAAGAGCUUGCUCUUACGGGUGGCGAGUGGCGGACGGGUGAGGAAUACAUCGGAAUCUACUUUUUCGUGGGGGAUAACGUAGGGAAACUUACGCUAAUACCGCAUACGACCUACGGGUGAAAGCAGGGGAUCUUCGGACCUUUCGCGAUUGAAUGAGCCGAUGUCGGAUUAGCUAGUUGGCCGGGUAAAGGCCCACCAAGGCGGGUAUACGUAGCUCGUGUGGGUGGCUGAUAGGCCACAUUGGAACGGGACCAGGGUCCAUACUCCUAAGGGAGGCAGCAGUGGGGAAUAGUGGGCAAUGGGGGCAAGCAUGACCCAGCCAUACCGCGUGGGUGACGACGGCCUUCGGGUUGUAAAGCCCUUUUUUUGGGAAAGAAAAGCAGCAGGUUGAUACCCCGCUGUUCUGACGGUAACCAAAGAAUAAGCACCGGCUAACUUCGUG